rnacentral:misc_RNA from 1 species
CCAAAGUGUACAAUCUUUGUUCUGAGAGGCUGUAUGAUGCAUCGUUGUUUGAAGGAAAGGUAGCUAGUUUUCCAUUUGAUGACCACAAUUGUCCACCAAUUCAANNNNNNNNNUAUCGUUUUGUCAAAGUGCGUACUCGUGGUUGAAGGAGGAUAUUGAUAAUGUUGUUGUGGUGCACUGUAAGGCUGGAAUGGCAAGGACAGGGCUGAUGAUUUCUAGCCUUCUUCUAUACUUAAAGUUCUUUCCUACUGCUGAAGAG